AUUACCUGGGGAUCCUGUUAAAAUGCAGGUUCCGGUUCUGGAGGUCAGAGGUGAGACCCAAGAUGCUGCAUUUCUAACAAGCUCCCAGGUGAUGUGGA
rnacentral:pre_miRNA from 1 species